rnacentral:rRNA from 1 species
AGCAGCCGCGGUAAUUCCAGCUCCAAUAGCAUAUAUUAAAGUUGUUGCAGUUAAAGGGCUCGUAGUUGAAUUUCGGGGUCAAUAAGUUGGUCAUGCCAAUGGUAUGCACUGGCUUUAUUGAUUCCUACCUCUUGACGAACUGUGAUGCCAUUAAUUUGGUGUUGCAAGGAAUCAGGACUGUUACCUUGAAAAAUUAGAGUGUUUAAAGCAAGCUUACGCUUGAAUACAUUAGCAUGGGAUAAUGAAAUAGGAUGUUUGAUCCUAUUUUGUUGGUUUCUAGGAUCGACGUAAUGAUUAAUAGGGAUAGUUGGGGGCAUUAGUAUUCAAUUGUCAGAGGUGAAAUUCUUGGAUUUAUUGAAGACUAACUACUGCGAAAGCAUUUGCCAAGGAUGUUUUCAUUAAUCAAGAACGAAAGUUAGGGGAUCGAAGACGAUCAGAUACCGUCGUAGUCUUAACCAUAAACUAUGCCGACUAGGGAUCGGAUGAUGUUAAUUUUUAUGACUCU